GCCUGGGUGGCUCAGUGGGUUGAGCGUCAGACUCUCGAUCUCAGCUCAGGCG
rnacentral:tRNA from 1 species